CCAUCUCAUCUCCCUUUAUCUGUACAAUGAAACUAAUAAUCAUUAAAAGUGGCCAUUCAUUUGCAAAUGAAUCACAUGUUUCAUUUAGUCCUUUUGUCAGAUAUGAUUCUAGUUGAAUCUUGACUUGUUUUCUGUGGGAUGUGUAAUACCAAACCCUAUGACCAGAUCAUGAUGAUAUGAAAAAAGGAUAAUAUCUUUAGUAGGGAUAGGAUCUUUCUGAGUAUUUGAAGAGGUUCACAUGCCUUGUCCAUUGCCACAGGUUCCAGAAGAAGAGAAAAACCUUGGUCCUCAAGAUCACUUGAUUCAUGUCUAUCACUUCACCAAAGAUGCAUCUCAAAAUCAGAUGGUUCAGAAUUUUGGGAACCCUUUUUCUUGAUCAUCCAUGAAGGUGAGACUUGAGAAGAGAUUAAAGUCUGUAUCCAGAAGAAGUUGCAGGUUCCAGACGAGGAAUUCUCCAAGACUUUUUGGUGGGCAUAUAGGGUCUAAUGCAACCUAUGCACUUCAGUUUUGGUGGUCAACGUAUGGUAGGUAAAAACUACUAGGAGUGCGUGCUGACCAUGUGACCAGCUCUAAGGUCAGGUGCAUCGUGCAAGAUUGAAGGGUGAGGAGGUUGUUAUUAAAGUACAAAGACCUGGUCUCAAGGAUCUUUUUGACAUUGAUCUGA